CGUAGGGACGCAGGGGGCGCUCCUCGCGCCGCGCAUGCGCGCUGGAGCUGCUGCGGUCCUGCCCCUCUGGUCAAGUCAGAGGCGGGUCUUGCAGCCCUGACGCUUUGGUUAUGCGGAGGGUGGUUUUGUGCAGGUGACAGCUUUUCGGCCUGCCUUCCACAUACGAACUCUCGAUAACUUUCAAGAGCCAGGUGAGAAGAGGGCAGUGUUAUACUAGGAGAAGCCACUUGGAGAUAAUGCCAGGUGCUUUUCGGUGUGAUUUGCAGGAAAUUCUCCCACCAGAGACCCGUGUUAUGCCUGGCAUACAGGAGGCAUUCAGAACAUUUGAUGACUAGAAGUGUGUGUCUAUCUCAAUGACACAGGUCUCUAAAACCCUUGCUGACAGUGUUUGGACCAAGAGGCUGGCAGCUAUGAUGGGAGCUCUGGUAGAAGAGAUCCCUGUCCCAAUACCAUUGUCCCAUGUUUCCUGGCUCUCCACCGGCAGAAGCCUUAAACAUUGAGCAACAUUUUGGCUUGGAGAAAAACUAAGUGCAUACUUGCCUAUAUUCCAAAACCAAGAUGACGUAUACUUCCAAUUGAACAGAUGUGGUCAGCCGUUGAUUGGACCCAGAAGAGAAGAAAUUAAAAGCAUCCAAAACAACACUAAGUAGGAAAUAG
rnacentral:lncRNA from 1 species